ensembl:lncRNA
AUUCUGGGGGUGUUCUCCUGAACAAGAAUAUGGUGUCAGAAGUGGGCUUCCCUCAUAAUCACCCAAAUAAACCUGAAGGCUCUCCAAGACCAUGGAAACUGAGCAAGUCUCUACAAUUCUAGGAUUGAGAAUGAGUGGGACUGACCAAAAGAGGAUCACAGUGAACAAAGCUAGAACCUGCCCCGCUUCUGCUCCCAGAGUCAGCCCGGAGUCAGCUGGAAGGCAGCGUUGGAUCGCUUGGGCUCCUCAAGCCACUUUGCAUGCAGCCUUAACGCGGAUGCUCCGAUCUCUUCAGUCCACCUCCUUGCUCUCUCCCCAACCUCUCUCUGGGCAGGGAAACGACCGGGAAGGGGAAUCAGGGGGAAAAGGACGUGGCGGGCCAGGACUCCUGGCUUCUCUUCUGCGCUUUGGACCUCUUCUUCAUUCCUAGAAUACACACCAUUCCCCAGGCUCUCGGAGUGACCCCCCAGCUUCAAAGGGGGCUUGGAAACCCACGUGGAAAGCACGAUCAAUGACGGCAAAGGGCUGAAGGAGCCCCAGCCAGGAGGAGGGGUGCCCUCCACGGACAGAAAGGUUGCACAGCAAGCCCUUGGGAACAGGGAGGGGGAAAGGACAGCUCCCAGCUCUGCCUUUUCUCUUGCUUCUCCUCCUCCUCUGAAACCCAGCGUUAACAGCCUGGGAGAAGCCAAUGAAAGCCUGAGGGAGAUGGGGCUGACCGGUGCUCCUUGGCCUCCUUUACUGAAAGGGCCCCUCACCUGGAGCCCCUGAAAACUCGGAGGGGAAAACAUUUACAUCUUCAUUUUCAUGAGCUUCUAACUGAAAUCUAGCAUGACUUUCCAUUAUUUAAAAAUGUUCUGAGAAGAGGUCCCUACCCGUCACUUACCAUGCCAGAGGGGCCUAUGCCACCAAAAAAAAAAAAACUAUCUGUUUGGAGACAAGGGCAAAAAAUUGAGAGCAGCAAAGAAUUUCAGGGAGGGGGGCCUGGGUUCCCCAUUGGGCCCAGACUCAGGGACUGGCAGGGAUCGCCAAGCUAAGUGAGGAGGUAGAUCUCUCUUAGGGGAGACACACCACCACCUAGUGGCCAUGCAGGGUCAAGGGCUGUUGAGAGGGUAACCCUGGGCAGGAUCCAAAGAAAGAACCCAUCUCACUCAAGCAGUUCUUUAUUUCUACUGUCAACCUAUGAAGCUUACCCCUCAAAACAGAGUUUGGGGAAUCACAGGGGCUUCUCCUGUGAUUUAGAUGUUUCCCUCAUUAACUGCUGAGGGAUGAUUACAACAUGAUGAAGCGAUUACAACAGUCUUCCUUCCUUUCAAUUCCUACCCCCACAACUACUCUAUUCACUGUUGCCAGAUUAGUGUUCCUAAUGUAUAGAUCUGAUAAUGUCACUCUGAAGCUUCGAUUGCCCCACCACUGCCUACAGAAUUGAGUUCAAAGUCCCGGAUUCUGGCACUCCUUACCCUCCCCCAUCUGGCUCCUGCCCACUUCUCCAACCUUUUCACCUGUAUGUGAAUCUCCUUCUACAAAGUGGCCUACUAAUGGGCUUCCCACAAAACACACAACAUGAAGUAGCAUAUCCAGAUCUCAGCUGAGUGACCUUCAGACAAGACACGUCACCUCUCUCUCAGGGCCUCAGUUUCCUCAUCUGAUGGAAUGGAUGAUUUCUGAAGCCUCUUCCAGCUCUGAUUUUCUAUGACCCUAGGUCACCUAUACGUUCCCCCAGCCAAGAAUGCCCUCCCAAACUUCACUUAUCUAAGUCCUGUCUAUAUUUCAAGGUCCACGUUAAGCUCCGUCUUCUCUGCACGGUCCUCCCAGGUCAUCCCAGCCCCUAGUAAUCUCUCUCUCCUUUCUCUGAAUUCCAUUAACUGUCCAUUCCACUCAUCUGACAUUUAAUACAUUCUGCCUUGAUCCAUUAUUAUCUUUUUCAGUUACUAGGGAGAACUAACCUAUAAAAAGAAUUUUAAUUUUUCAUCCGUGCCUUUCAUUUAUAACAUAUCCCAUCUUUCCUAUCAUUCUGAGCUCCACAAAGCUUGAUCUGUCUCUUCUUUCUUCAUUACAGUGCCUGGGCACGCAGUACUCAUAGCCUGUAAUACCAACUUGGUGACAUAUUGUAUUUGCUAAAGAUCGCAAAAUAAAGUACUUUGGAGAGAUGCUUUUCUGUUUCA